rnacentral:rRNA from 1 species
UACAGAGGUCCCAAGCGUUGUUCGGAUUCACUGGGCGUAAAGGGUGCGUAGGCGGUCGGGUAAGUCUGAUGUGAAAUCUCACAGCUUAACUGUGAAACUGCAUUGGAUACUAUUCGGCUUGAGAGUUGGAGGGGGGACUGGAAUUCUUGGUGUAGCAGUGAAAUGCGUAGAUAUCAAGAGGAACACCAGUGGCGAAGGCGAGUCCCUGGACCGAUACUGACGCUGAUGAGCGAAAGCCAGGGGAGCAAACGGG